rnacentral:rRNA from 1 species
AACGACUCUCGGCAACGGAUAUCUCGGCUCUCGCAUCGAUGAAGAACGUAGCGAAAUGCGAUACUUGGUGUGAAUUGCAGAAUCCCGCGAACCAUCGAGUCUUUGAACGCAAGUUGCGCCCGAAGCCAUCAGGCCGAGGGCACGUCCGGCUGGGUGUCACGCAAC